rnacentral:lncRNA from 1 species
CCCUAAUUCAUCCCAGGAGGAAAAGGCAGCUUCCUGUAGCCCUAAGCUGAAUCUUGAAGUUCAAGAAGUGAAAGAGUGAACCAAGAACAUCCCAGACAUAGGGAACUGUAUGUGAGCAGGAUCCUUUACUAAAAAGGAAACAGCCCUGCCCAAGGAUCUGGGCUCAAAUUCAAGAUCAGCUGAUUCAACACAGCAUCCCUGUAGAAAAAGCUGGCAGAGUAAAAGCUUCAAUUCCUUCCCAUGGCAGCCCACCAAAACUGGCUUCAAAGAUCCUCUGCUUAUGCUGCAGGGACUGUGAAGAGCCCCAAGUCAUCGAUGACUCCAAGGUUCCCAGUUAAACCCAAGAGAACCAGCCAUUGAGCCACAGAUCCUCAGCCCUGAACACAGUGCUUGGUACCAGUACAUCCUCAAUAAAUACAUCUGUACCCAGAUGUCCAUGGAAGACGUGUUCCAAGACCACCCUUCAAUACCCAAAUCCAUGGAUGCUCAAAUCCCUUCCAUAAACUGAGGAGACCAGGUGGAAGAAGCAGAGGACCAGCUGUGACCACUGCAGUAAUCCACAUAUGAGAUGAUGGUGCUGAGGAGGAGGCUGAAGAGCCACCACAACAUGGCAUCCAGGAUCUUCUGUUGCUGCUGCAAGGCCAGUGAGGGGGCUUCCAACACUGUGGGCUCCCACAGCCCAAGAAUGUUCCAACAGCAUCAUCCAUGGUCCUCCGAUCUGAAGGCAGGCUCUUACCAAGAUAGUUUGCAAAAGAAACACACACACUGCUCCCAAAACAACCGGAUGACAGUCAAGACAUGCAACCUUGGGUGACCCUGAGCAUUCUAGUCAGUGGCGCCCCCAUGAGGCUCUGGCUGCACAGCUGCAGAGGAUCUCCAUGAGGAGGAAGGCAGUGGGCAGGAGUCAUAAAGACUGAUUCAGAAACUUCAGGCAGGAAGAGAAGAUGUCGGAGUCAACCCUGUGCCAUCUGCUGGAGUCCCACCAUCUGACACAGCCAGGGCAGGAAGAGCUGUCUCCAAUUAAAG